UUCGAGAAGCAGUGGCGCGGUGGUUACCACACUGCCCUUCGAACCCGGCCACCCGAGUUCUGUCAACAUCCGUGACGGAACAUCUCAACCUGUCCUUGGCCUCCUCUGGAUCGACUGAGCUGUUCGCGGAGCGCCGAACUGCUGCGAUAAGCCCGAGUCUCAAGACCUAUUCCAAGAGGAUCCUGCCCACAUUUGGGGACGCUUGGCCGUGAAUUCCCGUGAGCGACGAGGGCUUCGCUUCGUGGCGCUCGAGGUGGAACCGGAGACCCGGACAACGAGAGAAGCCGGCAAACUCGCCAUCUCCUGGCCAUCACACCUCGCAGCGCCCCUCGACCUACGACACCUGGCAAGGCCCGGUGGCGAUGGGCCACCGCGGACGCGAUGAGGCAGAGAUUUAGCUCGGCAAUGCACGUGAAGUCACGGGCAAAGGUUACGAUGGAGGGAGGGGGGGGGGGUUUCCUGUCGAUUUCCUCGGUGACGCGGUUGUUUUUUGCAACGGUUUCAGUUGUUUUGGCUCUGAUGUCUAUUUGGUUGAUUUCACGCCAAUGUCUGUUUCCUCCAUUGUUAUACCUGAGUUCAUUAUUGUUAUUGCUUUUUUUUUACACAAAUUGCGCCGAUGCCCUAUUCUCCCCACCCCCCAACCUCCAAUAUGUGCAGAUACUACUGCCUCUAUUGUAUGUCGGGUGUGUAGGCAUAUAUACCUACAAAAUACAUUUAUUUUUGGUGGGGGGAAGGAUUGACAAUGUUUUGAAACCUGUUGGAUGAACUUUUUACCCCCACAUCUAGUGGGGAGGGGAGGGUGUGACCAUUUUCUAUAACAUUUUUGAUUCAGGCCUUCUGAAAGGCUCUUAUUAUUUAGUUGACGGACAAAUGGAACGCCGGGCUUUUAAAAUAAGAUGUUGGUAACGCAGCUCAGCCCCACUUGCUUAAUGAAGACCUCUAUCCUGGC